rnacentral:rRNA from 1 species
AUUGAACGCUGGCGGCAUGCUUUACACAUGCAAGUCGAACGGCAGCGCGGGCUUCGGCCUGGCGGCGAGUGGCGAACGGGUGAGUAAUACAUCGGAACGUGCCCAGUAGGGGGGGAUAGCUCGGCGAAAGCCGGAUUAAUACCGCAUACGACCUGAGGGUGAAAGCGGGGGAUCUUCGGACCUCGCGCUAUUGGAGCGGCCGAUGGCAGAUUAGCUAGUUGGUGGGGUAAAGGCCUACCAAGGCGACGAUCUGUAGCUGGUCUGAGAGGACGACCAGCCACACUGGGACUGAGACACGGCCCAGACUCCUACGGGAGGCAGCAGUGGGGAAUUUUGGACAAUGGGCGAAAGCCUGAUCCAGCAAUGCCGCGUGUGUGAUGAAGGCCUUCGGGUUGUAAAGCACUUUUGGCGGGAACGAAAAGGACUGUGCCAAUACCACGGUUCGAUGACGGUACCCGCAGAAUAAGCACCGGCUAACUACGUG